rnacentral:rRNA from 1 species
GACGAACGCUGGCGGCGUGCCUAAUACAUGCAAGUCGAGCGAGGUCCAUCCGAUGGCAACAUUGGUGAAGACCUAGCGGCGAACGGGUGAGUAACACGUGAGAAACCUGCCCCGAAGACUGGGAUAACCCGAGGAAACUCGGGCUAAUACCGGAUACCCCCACCGGAUCGCAUGUUCUGGUGAGGAAAGCUCCGACGCUUCGGGAGGGUCUCGCGGCCUAUCAGCUUGUUGGUGAGGUAACGGCUCACCAAGGCAACGACGGGUANCUGGUCUGAUAGGACGAUCAGCCGCACUGGGACUGAGACACGGCCCAGACUCCUCAGGGAGGCAGCCGCACGGAAUCUUGCC